CAAAAUGGGUCGUCACAAGAAGGCUGAUCCAAACGCCGACCAAAGGUGUAUAAAGCAAGGACUGCCAUCAAUUAUCCGUGAACGAUAUCGGGAUGUAAUUGUCGCAAUCAUUUCGUACUUAUCGGUGAAGGCUACGAAGAUCGCAUGCCUUGCAUCGUUACUAUUUUUGAUGAAGGUCAAUGAAGCACUCGACGAUUUCAACUAUGAUUUUUUUGAAACCGAUGAACCAUCAACGAUCAUACACAACUGUUUUAAGGCCGUUCUUGUCGAUAACAUUGGUAACAUAUCGCUUAUGUUACCUGGUUUCCGCAACAUUGUAGACGCUGCACACAUUGACUGGCCCACAAACGGUGGGUUCGGGAACGGUUUUAAAUAUAUAUGGGAUUAGUACUACGACAAUGUCAAAACGAACCUGACAACGCAUUGCGAGUCUCGAUUGCGGAAGUUUUUUAAAAUGAGAGCAUUCGAACUCAACGACUACGCCAUCAAGUACAAUUAUUUCAACAAUUUGUACGGUAUGAUCGAAUUCGAAUUGCCAUACUACGACGAGGAAGAUAUAAAAAAUGCCAUCAAUUAUACUUAUCGUCGUCGAAACACCGCAAUUGGCGACGUUGAACGUGAGAUGCGAUUGGGUGAACUAUUGGAUGAAUUGCGUUGGUUGGGAGCACCGGACGAUUGCAAUAUCCGUGACUUUGUGAAAGAGGAUUGGUUCAAGUCGAUUCGCAUGUGGUCGGAAAUUCAGCGCGAUAUUCGAAACUUUCACUUUGCAUACGAAGAUCGUCGCGAUAAACCACAAAUAAAAAACUUUGUCGUUGUGCCGAUGUGCACUUUUCAGCGUCGACACAUUCGAAUUGACACCGACGCAUUGUACGUUAUCCUAUCGAAUGCGAAAUUGGUGCCUCGAAAGUGCGGUAAACGGACACGUAAAGACGGAACAACAAAUUUCAAAAACAUCACGAGCAACGAAUUCCGCACAAAUAAAAUCCUAAGUUGGAAUUUAUUCUUCGAUGUGGAGAAAAUUCUCAAACUUGUGCACAACAAAAAGGAAUUCGAUUCUCAAAUUUGUUCCGAUGGCGUAUCUGUAUCGUUGAUGUACAAAAAACCGAAAGUACCACCAGUCGAGACAACAGAUGACGAAAUCAAGGCAAUGUAUGACAGCAAUGAGUUGAAAUAUGCUGUUGGAUGUGAUCCGGGUAUGCGAACGUGGAACGCUUCCGUACGACGAGAUUUGCAUACCAAAGAAGAGGUGAAUUUGCGUAUAUCCAGCAAGCGAUAUCACUGGGAUGCGAAACAAGGCCGACGUAAUGCAAAAGCCGAACGAAUCACAAGAUUGUUUACUUUCGAAGAGCAAGCCGAUCGUAAUCGAAUUGCAGCUAUGAUUGGUGAAAUGCCAUCGCCAAAAGGACCAUCAUGGCGUUCGUACAUUGAACAUCGAUUACGUGUAAUGAAUGAUGGCAUUGAAACAUACUCAACCAAACAGUAUGCACGCUUGGGACUGGACAAGCAUAUCGAAUCGGUUCGUGCAAUCGACAAAACGGCAUGCAAAAUGGUUCACAAUCAACCAUCAAUUUUCUACAUGGGAGCCAGCGGAUCAACACCAGCUAAUUCGCCGAUUAAGAUCAAGAAACAUGUGCGAUGUCCAGGCACACGGAAGCUGCUUGCGGCCAUUAUGAAACGUGGCAAUUGCAUCAUUCGAAUGGUCGAUGAGUACAUGACAUCACAACAUUGUCCAUUGUGCUUCAAACGAUUUCCAGUAGCAACUCGAAGCCAUCGGUAUAAGGUAUGUGUUGGUUGUGUACCGAAUCCAAUUGUUGGACUACCACGAACCAUCGUAACCAAUGUGAGCAAACGAUUACUACAAAUGCGACGAACAAUUGAACGAAUGUGGCGCGAGAUGCGUGAUAUAGGCGAUGUCAUUGCUGCAACUCUUCGAGAUGGACCGAAUGCAGGUCGUUUGGUGUCAAAGAAGCAACGCUUCUUCAAAACAUGGCUACCAAAUGUUGCAAACGUUGAAAUCGAGGGAGCUGCCGGAGCACAACCAACGCUCACAACUGUAUGGCACCGUGAUAUCGCAGCAGCGAAGCUGAUCCUCUACAAAGGUGAAUGCGUGGUGUUCAAGCGGACAAUUCAUCCAAAUGUACGGAGACCACGCCGCGUUGACAACAAUCAGCCAUUGCCGUUGUAUCGAGGUCAGAAUCAGAAUGUCAACAAUGGACAUCUGCAGCCGCAGUAGUAGCAGCCCUCAUUCAACAACAUUCAAACAAUACUAAAUUUAGAAAUUAGUUUAUAACAAUUAUUUGUUAGUUCGCUAGGCUUGAUUAAAUUGUGGCCUUGCCAAAGUACGAGUACCUCUUGGUAUAAAUUGUACUCGUACACGAAAUUCCAAGAUCACAAUGUAUUGCAACGUUUUAUAUAUUUUUUGUAUUGCAAAAUAUCAUUUCAUAUGUCGAAAAUCGAAUCGAUUUUUCAAAACCUUUGCCAACGUUGAAUUUUUUGAGUCUGAAUUAUAUAAGAUCAGCGAACCAAAAUAUUAAAAACCUAGCUCAUUUUAGUUAAUUACGGAAAAAUUACAACACAAGUGAUCACUUAAGUUCAUAAUUUUUCGAUUUUUACCAAAAAUAAAAAUGUUGGUUGUUGAAAAUUAUAACGACUCAAACUAAUCAUAUAUUUUUUUGAUACUGAUCUGUUGCUUUCUCAAAAAGAGCCAAAUAUCUUUCCAACAAGGCCAAAUUGGUGUGAAUCAGUUGAAAAACACCUGUAUGCCUUGGAUCAAAAAUGGAAAAAAAUUAAAAAUGGACGAACAUUUUUUGAACUUAGGAAUGCUAAUAUUAUUAAAAACGUAUAUUUCCAACGAAACAUUGCACUACCUUUCAGAAAAACAUCUGAUUGACGAAAAACUCAAAAAACUCUAAAAAAUGUUCGGCCCCAAACCAAAAUAACAGAGGUAACGAAUUUUUUUAAAAAUUGGAAAUUAUCUACUUUCGGAAAAAUAUUAUUUCACAUUAAAGAAGGACAGAGAAACACACAUUCGAUCAAUUUUGAGGUUUUGGGGAUUUUUGGUGAAAUAGCCAUAUCUUGGCCACUUUUCAACGAUCAUGUUAUUUCCAUUUUAACAUUAUCCCUAAAAAAAUUGAAAAAAAAUGUUGGUUGUCAACAAUCGAAAAA